rnacentral:rRNA from 1 species
ACAGCAGCAGCCGCGUAAUACGAAGGGUGCAAGCGUUACUCGGAAUUACUGGGCGUAAAGCGUGCGUAGGUGGUGGUUUAAGUCCGUUGUGAAAGCCCUGGGCUCAACCUGGGAAUUGCAGUGGAUACUGGGUCACUAGAGUGUGGUAGAGGAUAGUGGAAUUUCCGGUGUAGCAGUGAAAUGCGUAGAGAUCGGAAGGAACAUCUGUGGCGAAGGCGACUAUCUGGGCCAACACUGACACUGAGGCACGAAAGCGUGGGGAGCAAACAGGAUUAGAUACCCCAGUAGUCCCUGUCUCUAAUACC